CCCGGGACGCGGCUCCGAGCCUCCGGCUGAUGGAGAUGUGCUCGGUCCUCCCAGGAGUGGCAGAGGUUGGGUAUGAUUGUCCAUCGGGGCCGGAAGCCAGUGUCAUCACUGUGACGGCGUUGCCAGCACUUGGAGAGGCUGAGGCGGGAUCCCAAGUUCAAGGCCAGCCUGGGCAACUUUGCAAGACCCUCAGAAUACCAGAACAACAAAGACCAGGGCUGUAGCACACCUCGAAGGAUUAAAAGGCACUGCUGAAAGGUGCUGGCGAGAAACUGAAGAUUGACCAUGAGAAAGAAGGUGGAGAAACAGCUGCUGCCCGAGAGGCACAAGUAGCAGGCGGUCUGCAGGAUCCGGCCUUCCCAGGAGGUGCCCCAUCCAGCCUGCCCCAGAGUGAAGGGAAGCUUUCUGGACCUUCUCCUCCUCCUUCAGAAGUCACCUUGGCCCCAAGCUCCGUCAGGGGCAGCCACCCUCCUGUCAUCCCCU
rnacentral:lncRNA from 1 species